rnacentral:misc_RNA from 1 species
UCACCAAAGGAUGCAGUAC